rnacentral:rRNA from 1 species
UACGGAGGGAGCGAGCGUUGUUCGGAAUUACUGGGCGUAAAGCGUGCGCAGGCGGCUUUUCAAGUCAGAAGUGAAAUCCCAGGGCUCAACCCUGGAAUUGCUUUUGAAACUGGAUAUCUUGAGUCUCGGAGAGGUUGGCGGAAUUCCCAGUGUAGCAGUGAAAUGCGUAGAUAUUGGGAGGAACACCAGUGGCGUAAGCGGCCAACUGGACGAGUACUGACGCUCAUGCACGAAAGUGUGGGGAUCAAGCAGG